rnacentral:rRNA from 1 species
UACGUAGGGUGCAAGCGUUAAUCGGAAUUACUGGGCGUAAAGCGUGCGCAGGCGGUUAUGUAAGACAGUUGUGAAAUCCCCGGGCUUAACCUGGGAACUGCAUUUGUGACUGGCAAGCUAGAGUAUGGCAGAGGGGGGGUAGAAUUCCACGUGUAGCAGUGAAAUGCGUAGAGAUGUGGAGGAAUACCGAUGGCGAAGGCAGCCCCCUGGGCCAAUACUGACGCUCAUGCACGAAAGCGUGGGGAGCAAACAGG